ACAUGUAGAUCUUACGAUUAAGAUUUGAGGGUUUAGAGUUGAUGCAGGUUGAUGUGGCUUUUUCUUUGAACUGUAUAGUCACUUGGAUGGGAGCUUCCAAACUGACAAGUAACCGCAUUAGUAUCAAUCAGUGCCAUAUCGUCAUAACAACAGUCUAUACAACCCCAUCUGAUUAAAAAUAAACCUCGACAUAUUUGACCUUUCAUGGAAAUUCAACUUAUUUUUUUUCCCUUUAUUCUAUAUCUGUUUAUUUAUUUUCUCUUUCCUUUUUUUGAAAAUUUAUCCUAAUGAUCAUUUGUUAAGGUGGUUCAUUACACCAAAAUUUCAUUUCACUCCUCGUGUACAUAAACACCUCGUAGGAAACACGAUUUCACCAUUAACAGAGUGAUAGAAGUUCUCAAUCAUUUCAUUUGAUGUUUUGUGAUUGUACUUUUUAAAAAUAAUCUACUCUCCACAGGACAAAUUAAUCCACACGUUACCUCGGGUGUUGGUUUUCUUUUUUCGUUCCGCUUCAUUUUCUGUUCCGCGCUUUAGCAAUACCCUCUACUUCAAAACCUUUUCCGACCGCCGCCAUUAUCAGAAUUUACACGCGCAGCUUGGCUCAGUGCCAAUUAACAACGCCUUCACGUCAGUCACGAUGCCUAAAAUCCGGAACACCUGUAUAGAGGGGAGACACAAGGCUCGAAACCGGGGCAGUGGCUUGCUCAGAGAACGCGCUGACCAUUACGGCAUGGAAGUCCAACACUUAUGACGGACAAAUAUACAUAUUUACUCAAGUUUACCUCUGAUUAAUGUAACCAUAAUAAAGUAUUUGAAAUUACAAAACUGAUUCGUUAUCAUCCGU